GCCUCGGUGAUGUAAUGGUAGCAAGCGCCCUGGUUUACAAGGAACACAGGUUCAAUGCCUGCCUGAGGCU